CCCGCCCUGAGCGCUUCCUCCGAAGCACUAUAGCCCAGCCGUGUCUGCAAGCCGAGCCGCGGAACGUGCCCCGACCGAACAGCCCUCCAGAGCCGACCCGAACUCGGGCCGGCAAAGGCAGCCUCUGGGCGGAUGAACCGUUCCGGGCCAGGGAGGCCCGGGAUCCCCGCUCCGCGGUUCACCCGACGGGCUCAGGGCGGUCGGGGCACGCGCCCGGGACCACGUUUCUCCUCCUCUGCUGCUGCGUGACUGCCCCGCACCUGGAGCCCUGCUCGGGGCGGUCUGCACCCUCCAAACACCCCUGCGAGUGCAGGAGGGAUGCCGAGGCAGGAUUUGUCUUGCAGAAUAGCCAGUGCCCCAGACCUGAAAUCACUACUACUUGGAGUACUACAGGUAGCUUUGAAAAUUUUAAAUAAUGUUCCAUGGAUACAUAGUUUCAGUUAUCCAAGAUGAGAAAGCUCUGGAGAUUGUUUGCACAACAAAAGGAGUAUACUUAGCACUACUGAACGUACAUUUGAAAAUGGUUAAGAAGAAAGGAAGAAGAAAUUGGAAGUUUGCUCUCUCAACUUAUUUAUGGAAGAUAAGACCAUUAUCUACAUUGAGUUUGUGAAGAUUCUAUACUACUCCUUUUAUUGUGAAAACAGAAGAGGUGCACGUGUCCAAUCAAGAAUACUUGGAAUACUUAAUUGGACACAUAAUAUGUAAACCCAAUGAAGACUUUGCAGAAAGAUUAAUGGAAAACUAAGCAUAUAGAUGAACUGAGAACCUCAGUGGUAAACUUUCAUGUGGGACUCACGAUAUAGUUGCUGGUUGCUCUAAGAGAGCCUCUCUGGAAGCUUCAGCUGAUAAUCCUGACAUGAGACCAGGAUCGACAGUAAAAAGCAGGGAAAGGGUCCCUCAGCCCUGGCCUGAGCCCUGACUGCAGCCCGGCUCCCUGCCCCCAGCACGUUCUGCACAGCAUCUCUGGCAAGCCAGCUGCUGAUCAGCUCACCGCCCUCCCUCCCCUGUGGGAGAGUACAGGGACACACACAUGAUCAAUCACAUGCGGCUCUCCCUUCCUCGAGGACUCCGGGAGACAGAUAUUGUGCUCCAUAGAUAUGCACAAUAUGGCGGACUCGAUUCAUGCAAACUCAAUCAGCUCCUGAAGGUUCCUGACUUCAGUGCAGGUUGCGGGAGGUGUGGGGAUGCCUCCGGCACCCAGAGCUCUUUGAGCUAGGGCUUGAGAAACAGAAGUAACAAAGGUUGAUUAUUGGAUCUACAGCUCAGAGGACCAACAGAGUCAUAGUAUUCCCAGAAGGUAGCAAGUAUGCUCAUUUUUUUAUAUAAUAUAAACCUACCUUUGUGUAUUUCAUUUAUUGACAUACAAGAGACACACAAUUGACACAUAACAACUGUAUGUAUUUAUGGAGUACAGUGUGAUAUUUUGAUAUGCAUACUAAGCCUAUCUUUUUAACUUCAAAUGGUUCCUUCCCAAGGUGAGAUGAAAACUCAAAUCUCUGAAUCUCUGGCUUCCAGAUGACUAUGGAAAUGCAAUGAUGCUUGAGUGCUGCUCCUCACUGAGCACCACAGUGUGUGUCACGAUUCCUGCCGGAUUCUCUGCCCUGGCUGGAAAGGCAGAUCAGAGAGUGCUUGGGUUUGUGGUCCCUGCAUGGCAGCACAAAAGGAGAUGAAGAGGAAAUGGUAGGCGUCUGAAGAAGGGAUUUGGGCAGAGCUGCUGGUUGUGCUUUUGACAAACAGAAACCUGCACAAACACCGGCGAGGGUGGAAAGAGUCCUGGCUAACUUUGGAAGAUGCCUCCAGAUGACUCCAGUAGGCCUUUUCACAGAUGCAGCCAUCUGUGACAUUGUGGUCACAGCCUCUCCACCAACUUAGACAUUUCCACAGGGCCGGAGCAGCUGAAGCACUCUCAUAAAGUGUUCCCAACACCCACCUUGUUUCUCUCACUUUGUAUUUUGUCUGGCUUUGAAUACCUUGGACCAAUAUGGAGUUAAUACCCCUUAGUUCCCUGAAAUAGAGUGCUGUUUUGAUAGUGUUAUAGCUAGUGUCUAGAUGUCCCUCCAAAGCCUCAUGCAGUCAGAGGUGGGGCUUUUUCAGAAGUGGCUGGAUCUCACGUGUGUGACACUGGAAUUGAUUCACGGUAGAAUGCUAGGCUCAAAGGCACUAGGAUUAAGGGAGUGAGUGCUACCUACCCUAAGUAGUCUGGAUAAGAUUUCUUUUUAAAAAGGGCAGAAAGACACUGUUAAGGUCCCUUUUUGCUUUGCUACCUUCUGCCCGCCAUGAACUGUUCUCCUCUGCAAUACCACCCUGCCUUGGAGCCAGCCAAUUAUGGACUGAAACAUCUACAAAUUGUGAGCUAAUAAACCUUUCCUUUAAUUUUG
rnacentral:lncRNA from 1 species